rnacentral:tRNA from 1 species
CGGGGCGGAGACGAUUUGGCGAUAACGCUAAAGUUCGAGAAAUCUGCAGGUUCGAUUCCUGCCGCCCCGACCA